rnacentral:rRNA from 1 species
AGUGAACGCUGGCGGUAGGCCUAACACAUGCAAGUCGAACGGCAGCACAGGAGAGCUUGCUCUCUGGGAGGCGAGUGGCGGACGGGUGAGGAAUACAUCGGAAUCUACUUUUUCGUGGGGGAUAACGUAGGGAAACUUACGCUAAUACCGCAUACGACCUACGGGUGAAAGCAGGGGAUCUUCGGGCCUUGCGCGAUUGAAUGAGCCGAUGUCGGAUUAGCUAGUUGGCGGGGUAAAGGCCCACCAAGGCGACGAUCCGUAGCUGGUCUGAGAGGAUGAUCAGCCAAACUGGAACUGAGACACGGUCCAGACUCCUACGGGAGGCAGCAGUGGGGAAUAUUGGACAAUGGGCGCAAGCCUGAUCCAGCCAUACCGCGUGGGUGAAGAAGGCCUUCGGGUUGUAAAGCCCUUUUGUUGGGAAAGAAAUCCAGCUGGCUAAUACCCGGUUGGGAUGACGGUACCCAAAGAAUAAGCACCGGCUAACUUCGUGCCAGCCGCCGCCGUAA